rnacentral:lncRNA from 1 species
UGAAAGUAUAGCUGUCAGCUCUGCAGGAAGGAAAGCGCAGACAGAAUAACACCUGCGUCUGAGAGAACUAUGAAAAACAAAUGACUGAAGGAUUUUUACGUCAUCUGUACAGGUAUUUGCCCAGUGAUGAGUGGGUCUGGGGACCGAGAGGACGCUGACAUGAGUCAAUGUGGAGACGGAGUGCCCUACUACUCAGUGGAAAUGUGAAAACAGGUCAAUCUACCAUAAAAUCAACAUGUCUGAGGAGCAGGCUGAAGCCUCUUCAACACUGAAGAUGGCGACGCCUGUAAACACCAGCAGCCCCGGGGUUCAAGGUGAUCCAGGUCCGUUUGAAGAAGACAGACCAGUCUCUCCUGUGGACAGCCUUGUUUCCAUGAGAAGUGACAAGUCCAUGGUUGAACCUCUCAGCUUCAGUAAGGGAGAACCAGGGUGA